ensembl:misc_RNA Y_RNA Y RNA
GGCUGGUCCGAAGGUAAUGGAGUUAUCUCACUUGAUUGUUCACAGUCAGUUACAGAUUGAACUCCUUGUUCUACUACUUUCCCCCCUCCUCACUACUGCACUUGACUAGUCUAAA